rnacentral:rRNA from 1 species
GGAUCUACCACCGGGAUGUUCAUAACCCUUUGUUGUCCGACUCUGUUGCCUCCGGGGCGACCCUGCCAUCGGGCGGGGGCUCCGGGUGGACACUUCAAACUCUUGGGAAACUUUGCAGUCUGAGUAAACUUAAUUAAUAAAUUAAAACUUUUAACAACGGAUCUCUUGGUUCUGGCAUCGAUGAAGAACGCAGCGAAAUGCGAUAAGUAAUGUGAAUUGCAGAAUUCAGUGAAUCAUCGAAUCUUUGAACGCACAUUGCGCCCCCUGGUAUUCCGGGGGGCAUGCCUGUUCGAGCGUCAUUUCACCACUCAAGCCUCGCUUGGUAUUGGGCAACGCGGUCCGCCGCGUGCCUCAAAUCGACCGGCUGGGUCUUCUGUCCCCUAAGCGUUGUGGAAACUAUUCGCUAAAGGGUGCUCGGGAGGCUACGCCGUAAAACAAACCCAUUUCUAAGGUUGACCUCGGAUCAGGUAGGGAUACCCGCUGAACUUAAGCAUAUCAAUAAGCGGA